rnacentral:rRNA from 1 species
CGCUACCUCAGGUCAAGCGGGUCACCUGCUGAAUUUAA